UUAAGCGACUAAGCGUACACGGUGGAUGCCCUGGCAGUCAGAGGCGAUGAAGGACGUGCUAAUCUGCGAAAAGCGUCGGUAAGGUGAUAUGAACCGUUAUAACCGGCGAUGUCCGAAUGGGGAAACCCAGUGCAAUUCGUUGCACUAUCGUUAACUGAAUACAUAGGUUAACGAGGCGAACCGGGGGAACUGAAACAUCUAAGUACCCCGAGGAAAAGAAAUCAACCGAGAUUCCCCCAGUAGCGGCGAGCGAACGGGGAGCAGCCCAGAGUCUGAAUCAGCUUGUGUGUUAGUGGAACGGUCUGGAAAGUCCGACGGUACAGGGUGAUAGUCCCGUACACCAAAAUGCACAGGUUGUGAACUCGAAGAGUAGGGCGGGACACGUGGUAUCCUGUCUGAAUAUGGGGGGACCAUCCUCCAAGGCUAAAUACUCCUGACUGACCGAUAGUGAACCAGUACCGUGAGGGAAAGGCGAAAAGAACCCCGGCGAGGGGAGUGAAAAAGAACCUGAAACCGUGUACGUACAAGCAGUGGGAGCACCUUCGGGUGUGACUGCGUACCUUUUGUAUAAUGGGUCAGCGACUUAUAUUCUGUAGCAAGGUUAACCGUAUAGGGGAGCCGCAGGGAAACCGAGUCUUAACUGGGCGUUAAGUUGCAGGGUAUAGACCCGAAACCCGGUGAUCUAGCCAUGGGCAGGUUGAAGGUUGGGUAACACUAACUGGAGGACCGAACCGACUAAUGUUGAAAAAUUAGCGGAUGACUUGUGGCUGGGGGUGAAAGGCCAAUCAAACCGGGAGAUAGCUGGUUCUCCCCGAAAGCUAUUUAGGUAGCGCCUCGUGAACUCAUCUUCGGGGGUAGAGCACUGUUUCGGCUAGGGGGUCAUCCCGACUUACCAACCCGAUGCAAACUACGAAUACCGAAGAAUGUUAUCACGGGAGACACACGGCGGGUGCUAACGUCCGUCGUGAAGAGGGAAACAACCCAGACCGCCAGCUAAGGUCCCAAAGUCAUGGUUAAGUGGGAAACGAUGUGGGAAGGCACAGACAGCCAGGAUGUUGGCUUAGAAGCAGCCAUCAUUUAAAGAAAGCGUAAUAGCUCACUGGUCGAGUCGGCCUGCGCGGAAGAUGUAACGGGGCUAAACCAUGCACCGAAGCUGCGGCAGCGACACUAUGUGUUGUUGGGUAGGGGAGCGUUCUGUAAGCCUGCGAAGGUGACCUGUGAGGGUUGCUGGAGGUAUCAGAAGUGCGAAUGCUGACAUAAGUAACGAUAAAGCGGGUGAAAAGCCCGCUCGCCGGAAGACCAAGGGUUCCUGUCCAACGUUAAUCGGGGCAGGGUGAGUCGACCCCUAAGGCGAGGCCGAAAGGCGUAGUCGAUGGGAAACAGGUUAAUAUUCCUGUACUUGGUGUUACUGCGAAGGGGGGACGGAGAAGGCUAUGUUAGCCGGGCGACGGUUGUCCCGGUUUAAGCAUGUAGGCUGAUUGUCCAGGCAAAUCCGGAUAAUCAAGGCUGAGGUGUGAUGACGAGGCACUACGGUGCUGAAGUAACAAAUGCCCUGCUUCCAGGAAAAGCCUCUAAGCAUCAGGUAACAUCAAAUCGUACCCCAAACCGACACAGGUGGUCAGGUAGAGAAUACCAAGGCGCUUGAGAGAACUCGGGUGAAGGAACUAGGCAAAAUGGUGCCGUAACUUCGGGAGAAGGCACGCUGGUGUGUAGGUGAAGUCCCUGCGGAUGGAGCUGAGACCAGUCGAAGAUACCAGCUGGCUGCAACUGUUUAUUAAAAACACAGCACUGUGCAAACACGAAAGUGGACGUAUACGGUGUGACGCCUGCCCGGUGCCGGAAGGUUAAUUGAUGGGGUUAUCCGUAAGGAGAAGCUCUUGAUCGAAGCCCCGGUAAACGGCGGCCGUAACUAUAACGGUCCUAAGGUAGCGAAAUUCCUUGUCGGGUAAGUUCCGACCUGCACGAAUGGCGUAAUGAUGGCCAGGCUGUCUCCACCCGAGACUCAGUGAAAUUGAACUCGCUGUGAAGAUGCAGUGUACCCGCGGCAAGACGGAAAGACCCCGUGAACCUUUACUAUAGCUUGACACUGAACAUUGAGCCUUGAUGUGUAGGAUAGGUGGGAGGCUUUGAAGCGUGGACGCCAGUCUGCGUGGAGCCAACCUUGAAAUACCACCCUUUAAUGUUUGAUGUUCUAACGUUGGCCCCUUACCGGGGUUGCGGACAGUGUCUGGUGGGUAGUUUGACUGGGGCGGUCUCCUCCCAAAGCGUAACGGAGGAGCACGAAGGUUAGCUAAUCCUGGUCGGACAUCAGGAGGUUAGUGCAAUGGCAUAAGCUAGCUUGACUGCGAGCGUGACGGCGCGAGCAGGUGCGAAAGCAGGUCAUAGUGAUCCGGUGGUUCUGAAUGGAAGGGCCAUCGCUCAACGGAUAAAAGGUACUCCGGGGAUAACAGGCUGAUACCGCCCAAGAGUUCAUAUCGACGGCGGUGUUUGGCACCUCGAUGUCGGCUCAUCACAUCCUGGGGCUGAAGUAGGUCCCAAGGGUAUGGCUGUUCGCCAUUUAAAGUGGUACGCGAGCUGGGUUUAGAACGUCGUGAGACAGUUCGGUCCCUAUCUGCCGUGGGCGCUGGAGAAUUGAGGGGGGCUGCUCCUAGUACGAGAGGACCGGAGUGGACGCAUCACUGGUGUUCGGGUUGUCAUGCCAAUGGCACUGCCCGGUAGCUAAAUGCGGAAGAGAUAAGUGCUGAAAGCAUCUAAGCACGAAACUUGCCCCGAGAUGAGUUCUCCCUGAGACUUUAAGUCUCCUGAAGGAACGUUGAAGACGACGACGUUGAUAGGCCGGGUGUGUAAGCGCAGCGAUGCGUUGAGCUAACCGGUACUAAUGAACCGUGAGGCUUAACCUU
rnacentral:rRNA from 1 species